AAAAGGAACAAAAAAUAAGUUUUUUAAAAAUGUCAAUGUUUUUUCUCAUGAGCAAACCCUAAAAGUUGGAGCUAGAACCCUUAUUAAAGAUAAAAAGUGAAGCAAGAAUUAUUGCAGAAAAAAAAAUUUUGAAAACAAAAGUGAGUUUCUAUGCUUAACAACAUUGAUCGCUCACUCGGUUCUUUUAGAGUUUGAGGAACUUGGAUGGUCAGGAGAAUUAUUAGAACCAUCUCGGACAGUAGGAUAAGCAACUUGGUUAGUCAUGGAAGGUGGUUGAAUGAAGGGAUACGGCAUGCCAGAUUUUGCAGCUCCAGGUGCCAUCAUAACCCCUGAAGUAGGCAGUGGUAGCAUUUGUUCUGACAAGGGAAAAGGCGGGUGCUGGUAAGGAUACUGUGAAUAUGCUUGGAAAGCCUGAGGCAUAUUCGAAGUUGGACUCAUGUAUGGAGGGUAUGAAGUAUUAUACGGGAAAGGUACUGGAGAAUAGGUGUUCGGAACAUAAAAACCAUUCGCUGUUGGCAUUGAAGAACCAUAAUUAAUCAUAACCCUAUCAUGAGGGUAUACAUUACCAUCAGAAUAGGAAGGAUAUCCGUUUUGUCUAGGAUAAGAUUGAUCCUGUGUACGCCCACCAUACGUAGGCAUAGGGAAAUUUGUUGGUGCAUUUUGAAACUGGGCAGGAUUAUAGUAACCU